GCGGGUAUCGUAUAGCGGCUAUUAUGCGUCCUUGCCAAGGACGAGAUAGGGGUUCGACUCCCCUUACCCGCUCCA
rnacentral:tRNA from 2 species